GUCAAUUAAGUGAACUGGUGGAAGGUGGGGAUGACGUCAAAUCAUCAUGCCCCUUAUGACCUGGGCUACACACGUGCUACAAUGGACAGAACAAAGGGCAGCGAAACCGCGAGGUUAAGCCAAUCCCACAAAUCUGUUCUCAGUUCGGAUCGCAGUCUGCAACUCGACUGCGUGAAGCUGGAAUCGCUAGUAAUCGCGGAUCAGCAUGCCGCGGUGAAUACGUUCCCGGGCCUUGUACACACCGCCCGUCACACCACGAGAGUUUGUAACACCCGAAGUCGGUGAGGUAACCUUUUAGGAGCCAGCCGCCGAAGGUGGGACAGAUGAUUGGGGUGAAGUCGUAACAAA
rnacentral:rRNA from 1 species